UACGUAGGGUGCAAGCGUUGUCCGGAAUUAUUGGGCGUAAAGAGCUUGUAGGCGGUUUGUCGCGUCUGCUGUGAAAUUUCGGGGCUCAACCCCGAACUUGCAGUGGGUACGGGCAGACUAGAGUGUGGUAGGGGAGACUGGAAUUCCUGGUGUGGCGGUGAAAUGCGUAGAUAUCUGGAGGAACACCGGUGGCGAAGGCGGCAUCCUGGACCGACACUGACGCUGAUGCGCGAAAGCCAGGGGAGCAAACGGG
rnacentral:rRNA from 1 species